UUCCCAGUGGGCCCUUGGUGACGAUGUAAAGGAGGGUGGAACUUUUGUAGGAGAACCAUCUAAGAAAAAGGAGGAGGCAGAGAAACCAAAU
rnacentral:rRNA from 14 species